GCUGGGCACGGUGGCACGUGCCUGUAGUCCCAGCUACUCAGGAGGCUGAGGUGGGAGGAUCGCUUGAGCCCAGGACUUCUGGGCUGUAGCACUAUGCUGAUUGGGUGUCCGCACUAAGUUUGGCAUCAAUAUGAUGACCUCCCAGGGGCGGGGUACUACCAGAUUGCCUAAGGAGGGGUGAACCAGCCCAGGUCAGAAACAGAGCAGGUCAAAACUCCCGUGCUGAUCAGUAGUGGGAUCACACCUAUGAAUAGCCAUUUCACUCCAGUCUGGGCAAAAUAGUGAGACCCCAUCUCUA
ensembl:misc_RNA Metazoa_SRP Metazoan signal recognition particle RNA